GGAUUGUGGCUCAGUGGUAGAGUGCUUGCCUAGCAUGCAUGAGGCACUGGGUUUGAUUCUCAGCACCA
rnacentral:tRNA from 1 species